AGUGGCAAAUGAUGUGAAUUUAAAAUCUUAUCCUACACACUGAAUCAUGGUGUGGACCAUUAACUCCGCUUAUUAUCUGAUGCCCUC